GACGAACGCUGGCGGCGUGCCUAAUACAUGCAAGUCGAACGCAGUGGGGACGGGUGAGUUACACGUGGGUAACCGUCCAUUAGAGGGGAUAACACUUGGACACAGGUGCUAAAACGAUAUUGAUGGAUGAACCCGCGGUGCAUUAGCCAGUUGGUGAGGUAACGGCUCACCAAGGCGACGAUGCAUCGCCGGCCUGAGAGGGGGAUCAGCCACACUGGGACUGAGACACGGUCCAGACUCCUACGGGAGGCAGCAGUAGGGAAUCUUCGGCAAUGGGCGAAAGUCUGACCGAGCAACGCCGCGUGAGUGAAGAAGGUUUUCGGAGCGUAAAGCUCUGUUGGUAGAGAAGCGGUAUCUAACCAGAAAGCAACGGCUAACUACGUGCCAGCAGCCGCGGUAAUAC
rnacentral:rRNA from 1 species